rnacentral:rRNA from 1 species
AAAAGUUGAGUUUAUAAAAAAGGAAUUUAUUCUUUUUUUAUUUUUCUCUUUUUCUUGAGGGAAGAUGAGAAUUUAAUUUAUAAUAUUUUAUAUAUUAUUUAUUUAAAUUUUUCGCAUUCCCAGGGCGCUUGUUUCACGCUUUGCGUGUCGAUGCGCACCUAGAGCGUACACGCUGAUACCCGAAAGAUGGUGAACUAUGCCUGGCCAGGACGAAGCCAGGGGAAACCCUGGUGGAGGUCCGCAGCGAUUCUGACGUGCAAAUCGAUCGUCGGAGCUGGGUAUAGGGGCGAAAGACCAAUCGAACCAUCUAGUAGCUGGUUCCCUCUGAAGUUUCCCUCAGGAUAGCUUGCGCUCGAUUCAGAGUCUCAUCCGGUAGAGCGAAUGAUUAGAGGCAUUGGGGUCGAAACGACCUCAACCUAUUCUCAAACUCCAAAUAGAUGAGAUCCCCGGCUUUCU